rnacentral:lncRNA from 1 species
AUGCCUGUGUUUUGUUUUUUUUACGUAGAAACAACAAAGCUGUAUUUGAGCAUGAACUGUAUUAUUUUUCUUCCAGGCGACCCUAUCAUGUCCUGUUCAUUUCUUUUAAGAGGAAGGAGAACAGACCAGGCUUUGAAAUCUUCCUCACACCCGUGUGACCUCUGGUGUGUCUGUCAGCUAACUGCCUUCUUCCCAGGCAGGGUGAAGGAAAGACCCUCUGACCACCCAGACCUCUCCUCUACAAGGCUUGCAGAAGAGGUGUCCCUGUACUACAGAAGUCACAUAAAGAAAGACGCACAAAAGCCACAUGGUUGGGAAAUAGCUCAGAACUCAACUUAACAAUCCCCAAGGCCAACUGGCUCUCCGGGUAGAGGGUGAGAUCAUGCGUGCUGCAUCAGUGUGAGACUGCAUGAGACGGUCCCCAGACAGCUGGGGGCCUCCCCCGGCCUGGGAAAUGUGUGUCCUCAACCACAGGGCUGCCUGAGAAGAGAAGGUCGACGAAAUUCAGCAAACACAAGACCACAGCCAGGAAAUGAAUGCAGUUUCUACGGAUGGAGAACUGUCUGUCUCUUCCUAGGGGAAGAGCAGCACAUUUUCUAUAUAAGCAUGAGAACCAAUACUUUUGUAAAUUAUCUGCUUGUGUGC